AAUUCGAAGAUACACGAAGACCUUACCUGGCCUUGACAUGGUAGGAACCUUAAGAGAUUAGGGGUGCUAGCUUGCUAGAACCUACACACAGGUGCUGCACGGCUGUCGUCAGCUCGUGUCGUGAGAUGUUGGGUUAAGUCCCGCAACGAGCGCAACCCUCGUCCUUAGUUGCUAACAGUUCGGCUGAGCACUCUAGGGAGACUGCCUUCGCAAGGAGGAGGAAGGUGAGGACGACGUCAAGUCAUCAUGGCCCUUACGGCCAGGGCUACACACGUGCUACAAUGGGGCGUACAGAGAGCUGCGAUACCGCGAGGUGGAGCCAAUCUCUUAAAGCGUCUCUCAGUUCGGAUUGUUCUCUGCAACUCGAGAACAUGAAGCUGGAAUCACUAGUAAUCGCAGAUCAGCUAUGCUGCGGUGAAUACGUUCCCGGGUCUU
rnacentral:rRNA from 1 species